rnacentral:sRNA from 1 species
GAAAGGGCGCAGCGAAAGUGUGAUAAACAUUGUGAAUUGCAGAAUUCCGUGAACCAAUAGGGAUUUGAACGUAUACUGCGCUUUCGGGAUAUCCCUGAAAGCAUGCCUGCUUCAGUGCCUCUACCUUCUAAUGCCAGUAGCUUCAUGCUCCUUCUUGGUGCUAGCUGCUUGUGCGUAUUUGUGCGUCAGAUUGCGCUUUCGAGUGCGUUUGACGCAUUGAGCACGUGGGGAACCUUUGCUUAUCAAUCAACUCAUUGAGUGUCCUCGGAUGCAUCAUCUGUUGCAUUGUUUGCGAAGGUCGCCUCAACAACCAAGUGCUGUUCAUCAGCCUUCCUCCAAGGCAUGAAGUUAGGUCAGCAAACCCGCUGAAUUUAAGCAUAUAAGUAAGCGGAGGACAAGAAACUAAACAGGAUUCCCUUAGUAAUGGCGAAUGAACAGGGAUGAGCUCAGCAUGGAAAUCGGGGUCUCCCGACCUUGAAUUGUAGUCUGUAGAUGUACUGCCAACGGAGGCGCAGAUGUAAGCCUCUUGGAAAAGAGCAUCAACGAGGGUGAGAGUCCCGUUUGUCAUCUGCAGUCCCCCGUGCACGGUGUGCCUUCUAAGAGUCACGUUCCUCGGGAUUGGAGCGCAAAGUGGGUGGUAAAUUUCAUCUAAAGCUAAAUAUUGGUUCGAGACCGAUAGCAAACAAGUACCAUGAGGGAAAGGUGAAAAGGACUUUGAAAAGAGAGUUAAAAGUGCCUGAAAUUGCUGAAAGGGAAGCGAAUGGAACCAGUGUUCUUGAUGAGAUUGUUGCGUACUCUGGUGAUUGCUGGGUGUUCCACCGCAAGGGGGGCAUUUAGUUUUGAGCUAGAUGUGCGUGGUGUUUCUUGUCUUGUGUGUCACCGUCGGUGCACGAGCGAGUAAACCUCCAGGGGGCUGGUAGCUCGACCAUGGUUGAGUGAAUACCUUUGGCAGUACUCAUUUGUGUAUCGAUCCCUGCGUGUCUGGUUGCAGUGUUUGGGUCGCCUGGAAACUUCUGAGGGGCUUGUCCUUGAAGGAGUCCUUCUGGGCGCCCUGAGCAUCUCCCUGACACAAAGACGAUGACUAAAUGGUUCUAUUCGACCCGUCUUGAAACACGGGACCAAGGA